AUGCAGAAUGCAUUGUUGAAGCUAUGGGCAAUGGUUGAAGAUGCCAAAAGUGCUAGGGUGAAUGACAAUCUCGAAAGUUCUUUCACUAUCCACCAUCUGACAGAAGAGAAGAACAAGCUGGAGGCCAACUAUGACAAGCUAGUCCAAGAUGUGCAUGAGCUGAUGAACUUCCAGGAAGAUAAGGUGGUGGAUUUCAGACAUCUGCAGUCUGCAAAGAUGGCAACUGAGAUGACAAAGAAAGAUGCAGAGACCCAGCAACUUACUCAGAAGUAUGAGCUGCUGCUCAACCUGACAAGAGCUCAAGCAACAGUCAUUCAGAACUUGAAGUUGAACAAAAUGAAAGAGAAGCAAGUGCUUACUGAAGCUAGUAUGAAUCUGGAGCUGAAGAAUGCAGAGCUAACUAAGUGUCAGGAGAAGCUCACCCAAGAGAAGCUAGAGUUGAAGCUU
rnacentral:rRNA from 1 species